ensembl:lncRNA
AAUAAAAUACAUGAAGAUAUAAACACAAAAAAAGUCAAGUAGCCUACAUAUUAAAGGAAAAGCUGACAGAAGUUUCUGAAAGAAAGAGAAAUUUUGACAGCAGUUGGAGAUGCCGAACAUUUGGUUCUCAGGGCAGUGUGUGAAAAGUGAAAACACGCACGGGACGCCAUCUAGCGGUGACUGUGCGUCACUGAAUAAUGCAGCCGCGCUGAAUGAACUCACCUCCAGACGCUCCUGGAAUCGGGAUUGGGACUCUUUACGUUCUUAAAGAAAUUCUUAAGUUCUGCCGUCAUGAGUGAGAACUCCAUCUCCAGCAGAUGGAGACGAGAUACAGCUGACCAGGAGCUGGAUGGACUAUGAGCAGGAUUUGACUCUCUUGCAGACAUGGUGUAAGAUGGAUAAAAACACAAUUCAUUCUGUGUACCGCUUACUUCCUGUCAGGGAUGGAGGAGAGGCAGCAAUAUUCAGUGCUAAAGGUGGAGUUGUGUCCAUCACAUUGAAAGCUCAACACCCUGCAGCAUCUAUUCAAGCUGUAGAGAUCAGCUCUCAGUAUUUACUGCUCUUCUGCAGCCAGGACUACAUUUCACAGGUCACCAUCACAGGGGGCGGAUCCCACACUGUGGCCCUUUGUCCCAAACCCCUCACAGCACCACCACAGAGAUUAUAAUCUGGAACCUUGAGACUGAAGACCAUAAACACAUUGCACGGUUUCCUGGCCUGCUGGCUCAUGGUGUGUGUUCUGAUCUGCAGUACUGUGUGGGUUUCUGUCCCGGGGAAGCGAUUCUUACGCCUGUGGAACCUGGGAUCCAGAAUAAAUGACCACACACUCACAUACAACGUGCACAAAGCACACAGCGAUGGCACAGCGGAGAUUGUAACCAUGCAGAGAUAGCCAAGGUACAAAGUCCACUGAACAGCUCACAUAUGGCCACUCUAUUUGCAGUUUAUAACUGUAAACACAAUGAGUUAGCAUGAGAUAUUUUUGAGGACCAGAAUUUUUAUAGCAUUUUCUGUGCAUAAUAUAACCUCAGUUACUGCUAUUGUUCUACAGACACCACCUAGUAAAGUUUUACCAUGGCAGUGAGAUUUCUGUUGCAGUAUUAUGAACUGAAUGUGUUUUCAAUACACAAUGACCAGGUUUAUUUACUUAUCAAUAAAUUUGUUCUAAUCUCAAAGAUUUGAACUAAA